rnacentral:rRNA from 1 species
GAACAGGGCGUCCCAGAGGGUGAGAAUCCCGUAGGUGAUUAAUCUUCGUUUCCAUGUGAAGCCCUUUCGACGAGUCGAGUUGUUUGGGAAUGCAGCUCUAAAUGGGUGGUAAAUUUCAUCUAAAGCUAAAUACCUGCCAGAGACCGAUAGCGCACAAGUAGAGUGAUCGAAAGAUGAAAAGCACUUUGAAAAGAGAGUCAAACAGUACGUGAAAUUGUUGAAAGG